rnacentral:lncRNA from 1 species
AUGAGUUUGAAGCUAGGACCCAUAAGAAAGAGCUAUCUUAAUAAUAAUAAUAAUUUAGGCCGGGCGCGGUGGCUCAAGCCUGUAAUCCCAGCACUUUGGGAGGCCGAGACGGGCGGAUCACAAGGUCAGGAGAUCGAGACCAUCCUGGCUAACACGGUGAAACCCCGUCUCUACUAAGAAAUACAAAAAAUAGCCGGGCGAGGUGGCAGCGCCUGUAGUCCCAGCUACUCGGGAGGCUGAGGCCGGAGAAUGGCGUGAACCCGGGAGGCGGAGCUUGGAGUGAGCUGAGAUCCGGCCACUGCACUCCAGCCUGGGCGACAGCGCGAGACUCCGUCUCAAAAAAAAAAAAAAAAAAAAAAAAAGAUACAAAAAUUAGCCGGGUGUGGUGGGCGCCUGUAAUCCCAGCUACUGGGGAGGCUGAGGCAGGAGAAUCAUUUGAAACCUGGAGGCAGAGAUUUCGGUGAGCCGAGAUCGUGCCACUGCAUUCCAGCCUGGGUGACAGGGCAAGACUCCGUCUCAAAAAAUAAAAAUAAAAAUAAAAAAAAACUCAGGCCAAGACAGGUCUACACUUCCCCAUCUUCUAAAUUCAAUUCAAAGGUCAUUUAGAAGGCCAGUAUGGCAAGGAAAAAACAAGUCUUCAUCAAAUCUAGUAGAUCUACAUAAAAUAAGAUCCAGGCCAGGCGCGGUGACUCACGCCUGUAAUCCCAGCACUUUGGGGGACAAGGCGGGUGAAUCACGAGGUCAGGAGAUGGAGACCAUCCUGGCUAAUACGGUGAAACCUCAUCUCUACUAAAAAUACAAAAAAAAAAUUAGCCGGGCAUGGUGGCGGGUGCCUGUAGUCCCAGCUACUCAAGAGGCUGAGUUAGGAGAAUGGCGUGAACCUGGGAGGUGGAGCUUGCAGUGAGCCGAGACAGCGCCACUGCACUCCAGCCUGGGCGACAGAGCAAGACUCUGUCUCAAAAAAUAAAUAAUUAAAUAAGAUCCGCAUCUUGGCUGUGCAUGGGGCUCACGCCUGUAAUCCCAGCACUUUGGGAAGCCGAGACGGGCAGAUAAUGAGGUCAGGAGUUUGAGACCAGCCUGACCAACAUGGUGAAACCCCGCCUCUACUAAAACCACAAAAAUUAGCUGGGCAUGAUGGCGGGUGCCUGCAGUCCCAACUACUCAGGAGGCUGAGGCAGGAGAAUGACUUGAGCCCGGGACAUGGAGGUUGCAGUGAGCCAAGAUCACGCCACUGCAUUCCAGCCUGGGUAACAAAGCGAAACACCAUCUCAAAAAAAAAAGAUAAGAUCCACAUCUUAUUUUAUUGACACAGAAAAUGUCAAGAACCCCAAAUUUGG